UUGAUUUCUAUUCUACAAGUAGAGACUGCUUACUUCCCGAACAAGGAGGAAUCAUGUUUGUACAUAUAUAUAAUCUUCAUUGAACGUUAUUGAAUAGAAAUGUUCCUAAUGUUCUCACACUUGAAUGAGAAAAAUGGAUGUGAAUUCAUUUUCCGUGACGACUUAUCUAACUUGCUGACAAAGAAGAGUUUACUUUUUCAAAAGCCAUUGAAUUAUCAAUUGACAUUCACUUUAAUAAAUUGUCAGCUCAAAGGAAGCGAAAGCUGGAACUAAUCCCCAGGAAAAACUGGUACAUAUACUAUUUCAUUCAGUGAUAAUCUCAUAUCUACAAGAUAUUUCGGAAAAACUUUUACUGUGUAUAAGGAUGAAUGUUAUCUAUUGUCAGCUGCCUAAGAAGAGAUAUGACACAGGAAAACCAUACUGGACAGGUCAGCAGGGAUGACAGUGAAAGACAGGGUAAAUACACAUGGUCAUCACUUUCAAGAACAUCUGAGGAAGCAAAUGUCCAGUGCGUAGCUUUAUAUUUUAAAAAUCAGCAUGAAUUUAUCUUAUAAACCAUCCACUCAGUGCAAGAACUUGAACUAUUCAAUUACAGAAUCUCCAUCUUCAAAUGAGCCACUUAAAGUAUUCUUAGUCGUAACAUGGUGUCAAAUGGCAGGAUGUAAUUAUCUGCCGGGGAACACUUGUACAAGUCCACAGAGAAAGUAUUUCAACUAGCAGAAGUUUUCACCAGAGAUAGUUAAACAAAUUUUUAAUCAAGGUUUUAAUUAGGAAUAGUAAAGGUUAUCUAUUUGUAUGUAAAUGUGUGAGCAGACGUUCCUCGGUAAAUAGGUAGAGAUAUUACAGUUAAUUAUUUAACUCUUACAACAUUGGACUUAUGGAAUGUAAAGUGUCUUGUAAAAAUCAUUAAGUAGACGGGCAUUGUUUUUGUGAAUUUUGAAAUCAACAUUCCUUGAGAGCAGAGAAAAUUUCCAAUAGAGAAAAACAAUAUACCACGGAAAAAAAUAGUUCAUGUGAUGCCAAAAUAUCAAGUAAGACGUAAGCUUAGGUGUUUAUAAAACUGAAGCUGAAGGUAUAAUGGAUAAUCCUUCACAUUAUCAAGUGAAACACUGUUUUCUAUCAAAUGACUUUUGUUCAACAGCAAUAAAAGGAUCCUGAUCCAUAUGGUUACAACCUGGAGCACUUGUCAAAAAGGAAAAAAUAAUACAGUAGAGAUGAUCACUUCGUAUGCCUCAAGUCAAAUUCCAAGAAAUUUGCUUUUUACUCUUCCAUUUUAAAUUCCAGUGAAAAUGAGACCUGUUUUAGUGAGAAGAACAAGUAUUUGAACCUUGAGAAUGACAACUAACUGGAUGUUGACAAGAGAAAAAGUUGACAGAAACAUUUGUCUACGUCAUUGAAGUAUGAAAACACGAUUAAUUUGGUUGUUUUGUAGAGGUUUUUGCACCACAUAAAAGUCUUAAUACUUUAACACAGGCUAAAUAAAGAAUAUGUUUUUUCUGUGCUAUCCAGUUAUGAGGGCUACACAAUGCCAGAACUAACUAAUGCUAAAAUCCUGCAUCUUUAUAAUCAAUUUCUGCAGCUUGAACAAUAAUUCAGGUAGCAGCAGUCUUCAACUGAUACAGUGUUGAAUAAAAGCACAGAAUUGUCUAUGUAAUCCUAACAGACUCCUCGGUGCCGGAAAGUUUCAGGCUAUUGAUUAUUGGUGAGACUGUUAAUCUUAGAUCUUGGAAUUAGGUGAUUGAAGAGUACUGGACAUGUCAUUUAUGCAUCAAAUAUUUCGGUUACAGAAAUCUGUCUACUCAUAUAGCAAAUGUUUUAACAUUAUUAGCAAGGAGAUUACACAUAGUAAAUUUAAAUACUCCCGUUUGACAUACGAUUAUUCAACAGAUGUCAAAAUAUUUGAAAAUAAACCAGUAAUUAAACUGUUCUUAUUACUAAGAGUGUAUUGUUUUUAACAUGUGAAAUGAAAUAAAAAAAUUAAAUUGUUG